GAUGAACGCUGGCUACAGGCUUAACACAUGCAAGUCGUGGGGAAACGGCAUUAUGUGCUUGCACAUUCUGGACGUCGACCGGCGCACGGGUGAGUAUCGCGUAUCCAACCUGCCCCUUACUUGGGGAUACCCCGUUGAAAGACGGCCUAAUACCCGAUGUGUUUCAUUGACGGCAUCCGAUAUGAAACAAAGGUUUUUCCGGUAAGGGAUGGGGAUGCGUCUGAUUAGCUUGUUGGCGGGGCAACGGCCCACCAAGGCGACGAUCAGUAGGGGUUCUGAGAGGAAGGUCCCCCACAUUGGAACUGAGACACGGUCCAAACUCCUACGGGAGGCAGCAGUGAGGAAUAUUGGUCAAUGGACGCAAGUCUGAACCAGCCAAGUAGCGUGCAGGAUGACGGCCCUAUGGGUUGUAAACUGCUUUUAUGUGGGAAUAAAGUGGCGCACGUGUGCG
rnacentral:rRNA from 1 species